AAUGAACGUUGGCGGCGUGGAUUAGGCAUGCAAGUCGAGCGAGAAUUUGCGAUUGGAAGCUUCGGCCGAAGAAAGUGAAGGAAAGCGGCAAACGGCGUAGUAAGGCGUAGGUACGUACCCUCGGGUCGGGAAUAGCCAUGGGAAACUGUGGGUAAUGCCCGAUAAUCUCUGCGGAGCAAAGGUGUGAUUCCGCCGGAGGAGCGGCUUACGUGAUAUUAGCUAGUUGGUGGGGUAAUGGCCUACCAAGGCAACGAUGUCUAGGGGGUGUGAGAGCAUGGCCCCCACGACCGGAACUGAGACACUGUCCGGACACCUACGGGUGGCUGCAGUCGAGAAUCUUCCGCAAUGGGCGAAAGCCUGACGGAGCGACGCCGCGUGGUGGAUGAAGGCCCUUGGGUUGUAAACACCUGUCAGAGGGGAUGAAAUCAUGGUUGGCAAUCCUCCAUGUUGACAGAGCCUCAGAGGAAGCACGGGCUAAGUACGUGCCAGCAGCCG
rnacentral:rRNA from 1 species